CAAACUUAUGCGUGGUGGCCAGCAGUAGUCAGUGCCACUCUGCAACGGCACAUGUGGCUUCCCACACCAGGGGAGCAGCGCAAGGAUGUGCAUCUUUAGGACCUACAGGGAGGAGACACUGGGGGUGGCUGCCUGAGGAAAUGACCGCUUCCAGCAACAGCAAGCACCGAGGUUUAUAGAGAAGAGUAGAGGGCGAAGAGAGGAGCCUGGGUACUGGGCAGAGCCAGCUUCUAUUAGACUAUUGGUUUCUCUCCACACGAUGAUGGUUACGGCCCUACUGCUGAAGACAACACCCACAGAAACCUAUCGCUUUCACCCCUACUGAUGAGUGUUUAUGGUUCUGGAAACUACUCUGCACACUGUCAGAGGAGAAAGAUAAAGAGCAGCCCAGCUACAAACAAACCCUGCAACCUACCAUGGUGACCAGCCUACAAGAGACGCAUUCUGGUGCAUUCAUGGUACAAACCAUCCUCUAUCUGACUGGCAUCCAGGCUCAGUCCAUGAGCCGACGGGACCCAUGCUCAACACUGUCUGUGUGGCCACGAACCUGAGCCUGGUAAGCCGUGGACCAGUGUUCUGCUAAAGGAGUGUAGCAAU
rnacentral:lncRNA from 1 species